GGGCACAUAGCUCAGCGGGGGAGCGCUUCCUUCACACGGAAGAGGUCGCAGGUUCGAUCCCUGCUGUGCCCACCA
rnacentral:tRNA from 1 species